UACGUAGGGUGCAAGCGUUGUCCGGAAUUAUUGGGCGUAAAGAGCUCGUAGGCGGUCUGUCGCGUCGGCUGUGAAAACCCGAGGCUCAACCUCGGGCCUGCAGUCGAUACGGGCAAACUGGAGUACUGCAGGGGAGACUGGAAUUCCUGGUGUAGCGGUGAAAUGCGCAGAUAUCAGGAGGAACACCGGUGGCGAAGGCGGGUCUCUGGGCAGUAACUGACGCUGAGGAGCGAAAGCGUGGGGAGCGAACAGG
rnacentral:rRNA from 1 species